rnacentral:rRNA from 1 species
UACAGAGGGUGCAAGCGUUAAUCGGAAUUACUGGGCGUAAAGCGAGCGUAGUCGGUUAUUUAAGUCGGGUGUGAAAGCCCCGGGCUCAACCUGGGAAUUGCAUUCGAUACUGGAUAGCUAGAGUUCGGCAGAGGGAAGCGGAAUUUCCGGUGUAGCGGUGAAAUGCGUAGAUAUCGGAAGGAACAUCAGUGGCGAAGGCGACUACCUGGCCUGUUCUUGACGCUGAGGCGCGAAAGCUAGGGGAGCAAACGGG